AGCGAACGCUGGCGGCAGGCCUAACACAUGCAAGUCGAACGAACUCUUCGGAGUUAGUGGCGGACGGGUGAGUAACACGUGGGAACGUUCCUUUAGGUUCGGAAUAACUCAGGGAAACUUGUGCUAAUACCGAAUGUGCCCUUCGGGGGAAAGAUUUAUCGCCUUUAGAGCGGCCCGCGUCUGAUUAGCUAGUUGGUGAGGUAAAGGCUCACCAAGGCGACGAUCAGUAGCUGGUCUGAGAGGAUGAUCAGCCACAUUGGGACUGAGACACGGCCCAAACUCCUACAGGAGGCAGCAGUGGGGAAUCUUGCGAAAUGGGCGAAAGCCUGACGCAGCCAUGCCGCGUGAAUGAUGAAGGUCUUAGGAUUGUAAAAUUCUUUCACCGGGGACGAUAAUGACGGUACCCGGAGAAGAAGCCCCGGCUAACUUCGUG
rnacentral:rRNA from 1 species